UACGAAGGGCGCUAGCGUUGUUCGGAAUCACUGGGCGUAAAGCGCACGUAGGCGGAUGUGUCAGUCAGGGGUGAAAUCCCGGAGCUCAACUUCGGAACUGCCCUUGAUACAGCACAUCUGGAGUCCGGAAGAGGUGGGUGGAAUUCCUAGUGUAGAGGUGAAAUUCGUAGAUAUUAGGAAGAACACCGGUGGCGAAGGCGGCCCACUGGUCCGGUACUGACGCUGAGGUGCGAAAGCGUGGGGAGCAAACAGG
rnacentral:rRNA from 1 species